rnacentral:tRNA from 1 species
CAGAAAAUAGUUUAUAAAAAUAUUAGUUUUGGAGAUUAAAGAUGAAUUAUUAGUUCUUUUCUGA